AUUGAACGCUGGCGGCAGGCCUAACACAUGCAAGUCGAGCGGUAGCACAGAGAGCUUGCUCUCGGGUGACGAGCGGCGGACGGGUGAGUAAUGUCUGGGAAACUGCCUGAUGGAGGGGGAUAACUACUGGAAACGGUAGCUAAUACCGCAUAACGUCGCAAGACCAAAGUGGGGGACCUUCGGGCCUCAUGCCAUCAGAUGUGCCCAGAUGGGAUUAGCUAGUAGGUGGGGUAACGGCUCACCUAGGCGACGAUCCCUAGCUGGUCUGAGAGGAUGACCAGCCACACUGGAACUGAGACACGGUCCAGACUCCUACGGGAGGCAGCAGUGGGGAAUAUUGCACAAUGGGCGCAAGCCUGAUGCAGCCAUGCCGCGUGUGUGAAGAAGGCCUUCGGGUUGUAAAGCACUUUCAGCGGGGAGGAAGGCGGUGAGGUUAAUAACCUCAUCGAUUGACGUUACCCGCAGAAGAAGCACCGGCUAACUCCGUGCCAGCAGCCGCGGUAAUACGGAGGGUGCAAGCGUUAAUCGGAAUUACUGGGCGUAAAGCGCACGCAGGCGGUCUGUCAAGUCGGAUGUGAAAUCCCCGGGCUCAACCUGGGAACUGCAUUCGAAACUGGCAGGCUAGAGUCUUGUAGAGGGGGGUAGAAUUCCAGGUGUAGCGGUGAAAUGCGUAGAGAUCUGGAGGAAUACCGGUGGCGAAGGCGGCCCCCUGGACAAAGACUGACGCUCAGGUGCGAAAGCGUGGGGAGCAAACAGGAUUAGAUACCCUGGUAGUCCACGCCGUAAACGAUGUCGAUUUGGAGGUUGUGCCCUUGAGGCGUGGCUUCCGGAGCUAACGCGUUAAAUCGACCGCCUGGGGAGUACGGCCGCAAGGUUAAAACUCAAAUGAAUUGACGGGGGCCCGCACAAGCGGUGGAGCAUGUGGUUUAAUUCGAUGCAACGCGAAGAACCUUACCUGGUCUUGACAUCCACAGAACUUUCCAGAGAUGGAUUGGUGCCUUCGGGAACUGUGAGACAGGUGCUGCAUGGCUGUCGUCAGCUCGUGUUGUGAAAUGUUGGGUUAAGUCCCGCAACGAGCGCAACCCUUAUCCUUUGUUGCCAGCGGUCCGGCCGGGAACUCAAAGGAGACUGCCAGUGAUAAACUGGAGGAAGGUGGGGAUGACGUCAAGUCAUCAUGGCCCUUACGACCAGGGCUACACACGUGCUACAAUGGCAUAUACAAAGAGAAGCGACCUCGCGAGAGCAAGCGGACCUCAUAAAGUAUGUCGUAGUCCGGAUUGGAGUCUGCAACUCGACUCCAUGAAGUCGGAAUCGCUAGUAAUCGUAGAUCAGAAUGCUACGGUGAAUACGUUCCCGGGCCUUGUACACACCGCCCGUCACACCAUGGGAGUGGGUUGCAAAAGAAGUAGGUAGCUUAACCUUCGGGAGGGCGCUUACCACUUUGUGAUUCAUGACUGGGGUGA
rnacentral:rRNA from 1 species